AACUAGAAAGGCAGGUGUACUGGCCCAGAAUGCAAGUCUGCGAUCGAAGGUUUCACAGGUAGAGCCUUUCUUGGUACAGAUAUACUCCAGGGCCUGGGCGUGGGUGGCGCUGGUAGGUCUUUCUUCGGGCCUUGUUCUGCAGUAGUCCCUGCAGCUCGGGGUCAUGUCCACAGGCAACUUGCUGUUGAGCUCACAAGCCCAUGCUGAGUUUGCUGGGGAUAACGAAGUAACUACCAAUAUUUUUUUGUCUCCCUUCACACCAGAUCCCAGUGAUUUCAUAGCUGCUUUGGAAAAGAACUGAGGAUAAAUAUGACAUUUCUUCUUGAAGUCCUGCAAUGCUGCUUUGGGCAAGACUCAGCAAUUUUCUGUGUGUUUCUGUGUGACGGAAGAGGACCCAGCAGACUGAGUCAUCAAGAGUGCGUCAAGGGUGGGCAGCACUUGCAGUCAGAUCCAUGAAGACCCACAUCUUUCUGUAGAUGAGUCCUUUUCCUUGGGAAAUUACAAUUCUGAGAGGUCCCCAAAGCACCAUGGAAGUUUGAAUUAAAAAAAGGCGUAAGUUUAAUGAAAAAGUUCUUCUUUACAUUUGUCUUCGUGACAGUUGUUGCUGCUUGGUAGAACUAGAUGAAGUAUAAAGGGGGAUGGAUAGGACCAUUGUCAGGAGUUGCAGAUGGGUG
rnacentral:lncRNA from 1 species